CCCUUAGAUGUUCUGGGCUGCACGCGCGCUACACUGAAGCUAUCAACACGUUUUCCCUCCCUGAGAAGGGCAGGUAACCUUUUGAAUCAGCUUCGUGGUAGGGAUCGGGGCUUGCAAUUGUUCCCCGUGAACCAGGAAUUCCUAGUAGACGCGAGUCAUAAGCUCGCAUCGAUUAAGUCCCUGCCCUUUGUACACACCGCCCGUCGCUACUACCGAUUGAACGUUUUAGUGAGGCAUUUGGACCGACGCAUCUCAGUUUAACCGCUGGUUUGUGUUGGAAAGACUUCCAAACUUGAGCGUUUAGAGGAAGUAAAAGUCGUAACA
rnacentral:rRNA from 1 species